UGGUAAUGCUGCACGCGCCCAGGCGCACCCAGAACCCUUUGUGAACUUAUACCUUACUGUUGCCUCGGCGCAUGCCGGCCCCCCUGGGGGCCCCUCCUUCUGGAGGAGCAGGCACGCCGGCGGCCAACCUAACUCUUGUUUUUACACUGAAACUCUGAGCACAAAACAUAAAUGAAUCAAAACUUUCAACAACGGAUCUCUUGGUUCUGGCAUCGAUGAAGAACGCAGCGAAAUGCGAUAAGUAAUGUGAAUUGCAGAAUUCAGUGAAUCAUCGAAUCUUUGAACGCACAUUGCGCCCUCUGGUAUUCCGGAGGGCAUGCCUGUUCGAGCGUCAUUUCAACCCUCAAGCCUGGCUUGGUGAUGGGGCACUGCCUGUAAAAGGGCAGGCCUUGAAAUUCAGUGGCGAGCUCGCCAGGACCCCGAGCGCAGUAGUUAAACCCUCGCUUUGGAAGGCCCUGGCGGUGCCCUGCCGUUAAACCCCCAACUUCUGAAAAUUUGACCUCGGAUCAGGUAGGAAUACCCGCUGAACUUAAGCAUAUCAAUAAGCGGAGGAA
rnacentral:rRNA from 1 species